rnacentral:rRNA from 1 species
GAUCCAGAGAUUUCCGAAUGGGGAAACCCAGCAUGAGUUAUGUCAUGUUAUCGAUAUGUGAAUACAUAGCAUAUCAGAAGGCACACCCGGAGAACUGAAACAUCUUAGUACCCGGAGGAAGAAAAAGAAAAUUCGAUUCCCUUAGUAGCGGCGAGCGAAACGGGAAGAGCCCAAACCAACAAGCUUGCUUGUUGGGGUUGUAGGACACUCUAUACGGAGUUACAAAGGACGACAUUAGACGAAUCAUCUGGAAAGAUGAAUCAAAGAAGGUAAUAAUCCUGUAGUCGAAAAUGUUGUCUCUCUUGAGUGGAUCCUGAGUACGACGGAACACGUGAAAUUCCGUCGGAAUCUGGGAGGACCAUCUCCUAAGGCUAAAUACUCUCUAGUGACCGAUAGUGAACCAGUACCGUGAGGGAAAGGUGAAAAGCACCCCGGAAGGGGAGUGAAAUAGAACCUGAAACCGUGUGCUUACAAGUAGUCAGAGCCCGUUAAUGGGUGAUGGCGUGCCUUUUGUAGAAUGAACCGGCGAGUUACGAUUUGAUGCAAGGUUAAGCAGUAAAUGUGGAGCCGUAGCGAAAGCGAGUCUGAAUAGGGCGUUUAGUAUUUGGUCGUAGACCCGAAACCAGGUGAUCUACCCUUGGUCAGGUUGAAGUUCAGGUAACACUGAAUGGAGGACCGAACCGACUUACGUUGAAAAGUGAGCGGAUGAACUGAGGGUAGCGGAGAAAUUCCAAUCGAACCUGGAGAUAGCUGGUUCUCUCCGAAAUAGCUUUAGGGCUAGCCUCAAGUGAUGAUUAUUGGAGGUAGAGCACUGUUUGGACGAGGGGCCCCUCUCGGGUUACCGAAUUCAGACAAACUCCGAAUGCCAAUUAAUUUAACUUGGGAGUCAGAACAUGGGUGAUAAGGUCCGUGUUCGAAAGGGAAACAGCCCAGACCACCAGCUAAGGUCCCAAAAUAUAUGUUAAGUGGAAAAGGAUGUGGCGUUGCCCAGACAACUAGGAUGUUGGCUUAGAAGCAGCCAUCAUUUAAAGAGUGCGUAAUAGCUCACUAGUCGAGUGACACUGCGCCGAAAAUGUACCGGGGCUAAACAUAUUACCGAAGCUGUGGAUUGUCCUUUGGACAAUGGUAGGAGAGCGUUCUAAGGGCGUUGAAGCAUGAUCGUAAGGACAUGUGGAGCGCUUAGAAGUGAGAAUGCCGGUGUGAGUAGCGAAAGACGGGUGAGAAUCCCGUCCACCGAUUGACUAAGGUUUCCAGAGGAAGGCUCGUCCGCUCUGGGUUAGUCGGGUCCUAAGCUGAGGCCGACAGGCGUAGGCGAUGGAUAACAGGUUGAUAUUCCUGUACCACCUAUAAUCGUUUUA